AGGCAGCCUUUUUGUUUUUGUUAAAGAAUGGGGAAAAAUGGUAGUUAUCUAAAGCAAACUGGCAUUCCAAACGUUAGAAAGUUAAUAACAGAGCGGGCGCAGAAAGGUUUAUUUCAUGGCCUUGACGAAAUUCGACGGGUCAGAGUCAGUUUUUCAGGGAAAAAGUCCGUGCACGUGAAGCAACCGCAAGUUUAUAAUAAAAACUUAUAUAGUAAAAUUCUAAAUAAAACGUUGAAUUUAGAAGUUUCUACUCAAACUCUUAGAAUGAUUGAUAAAGCAAGAGGCUUUGAUAAUUACAUUUUAAAAACACCAACUUUUAUUUUGAAAUCAAAAAAAGGGGAAGAACUUAAGGAUCUUUUAAAAGACGAAAUAGUUCGAAGGAAUUUAAUGAAAGAAGCUUUAAAGGAAAACUGGAC